rnacentral:rRNA from 1 species
GAUGAACGCUGGCGGCGUGCCUAAUACAUGCAAGUCGAGCGAACGGACGAGAAGCUUGCUUUUCUGAUGUUAGCGGCGGACGGGUGAGUAACACGUGGAUAACCUACCUAUAAGACUGGGAUAACUUCGGGAAACCGGAGCUAAUACCGGAUAAUAUUUUGAACCGCAUGGUUCAAAAGUGAAAGACGGUCUUGCUGUCACUUAUAGAUGGAUCCGCGCUGCAUUAGCUAGUUGGUAAGGUAACGGCUUACCAAGGCAACGAUGCAUAGCCGACCUGAGAGGGUGAUCGGCCACACUGGAACUGAGACACGGUCCAGACUCCUACGGGAGGCAGCAGUAGGGAAUCUUCCGCAAUGGGCUAAAGCCUGACGGAGCAACGCCGCGUGAGUGAUGAAGGUCUUCGGAUCGUAAAACUCUGUUAUUAGGGAAGAACAUAUGUGUAAGUAACUGUGCACAUCUUGACGGUACCUAAUCAGAAAGCCACGGCUAACUACGUG